ACGUGGAAAGACACAGCGAUCGAAACUGCAGGGGAACGCGCGCAAACAAUCGUCUUUAUCGUCGUAACUAUGAAACGAGAUAUUGUUUCAGAUUCUGUCACUAACCGCCGCAACUCGUCUCUGUCCAAACGUUUUUUUCGGAAUAUCGGAGAUCGAUGCAGGAUUUAAUAACAAUCACAAUGGAACAGUCUUUUCGUCUAGCGAAACGAAUUCCUGCGGAUGAUCGAUGGUGAUUACGUUGCUUUGUUUUCGUACUUGCUUCUUCUCGGGAUUGUUCCACGGUUGUAACUGACCGCUACCAAAAAUGGUAAACGUUAACGAGCCGACCAUGUAACUGCUUAGAAAUCCGCCUAGGGAACCGAGCGUGUUCAUCAUGCCGAAAAUAGUGCCUGAAAAGUUGGGUGCAAUGUCUAAA
rnacentral:lncRNA from 1 species